AGUGAACGCUGGCGGUAGGCCUAACACAUGCAAGUCGAACGGCAGCACAGUAAGAGCUUGCUCUUACGGGUGUCGAGUGGCGGACGGGUGAGGAAUACAUCGGAAUCUACUUUUUCGUGGGGGAUAACGUAGGGAAACUUACGCUAAUACCGCAUACGACCUACGGGUGAAAGCAGGGGAUCUUCGGACCUUGCGCGAUUGAAUGAGCCGAUGUCGGAUUAGCUAGUUGGCGGGGUAAAGGCCCACCAAGGCGACGAUCCGUAGCUGGUCUGAGAGGAUGAUCAGCCACACUGGAACUGAGACACGGUCCAGACUCCUACGGGAGGCAGCAGUGGGGAAUAUUGGACAAUGGGCGAAAGCCUGAUCCAGCCAUACCGCGUGGGUGAAGAAGGACUUCGGGUUGUAAAGCCCUUUUGUUGGGAAAGAAAAGCAGCAGGUUAAUACCCCGCUAUUCUGACGGUACCCAAAGAAUAAGCACCGGCUAACUUCGUG
rnacentral:rRNA from 1 species